UUCCACUUUUCAUUUUUAAGCCAUUUCAUUGCCAGUGGCUUCGUCCCUUAGGCCUGACGCUGACCCUGAAAUUAAGGAGCGAAAAUAAAUCAGCGUUGGGUGGGGCAAACCCACGUGGUAACCACGGUAACGCUGGUGGGGCGAGAGCCCUGCGCAAGCGCAUUACAUCCCAGGUCGGCCAGCCCACCCCUGGGCUGCCAGCCUGGGUCCCUCCUCUCUGCCUCCGACUCCAAGGGCGGGCCACAGCAGGCUAGGGGGAGCGAGGCCGGGGCUGGGCGCCUGCGCAGUGGCUGGGGCGCUGGUGUGCUCGAGCUCACGUAGCGAGGGCCGCUGUCGCGGCCUAGAGGUUAUAAAAGGGCUAACUGGCUCCCUCUGCUGCCCAGUUGCGCCGCCAGCGGGCUGAGGGGAGGGAGUAGGUAGCCGGUCCGGGUGCAGGCGACAGGGGACCCAAGAGCGCGCCACCAUCCUGUCCCACUUUACAGAUUUGUGAACCUAUAAAGUUAAAUCUUCCAAGAUGAUCUGGUAUAUUUUAAUUGUAGGGAGUCUACUUCCCGAGUCUUUAGCCCAUCCAGGCUUUUUUACUUCAAUUGGUCAGAUGACUGAUUUGAUCCAUACUGAGAAAGAUCUGGUGACUUCUCUGAAAGAUUACAUUAAGGCAGAAGAAGACAAAUUAGAACAAAUAAAAAAAUGGGCAGAGAAGUUAGAUCGGUUAACCAGCACGGCAACAAAAGACCCAGAAGGAUUUGUUGGGCAUCCUGUAAAUGCAUUCAAGUUAAUGAAACGUCUAAACACUGAGUGGAGUGAGUUGGAGAAUUUGGUACUUAAGGAUAUGUCAGAUGGUUUUAUCUCUAACCUAACCAUUCAGAGACAGUACUUCCCUAAUGAUGAAGAUCAGGUUGGGGCAGCCAAAGCUCUGUUGCGUCUCCAGGACACCUACAAUUUAGAUACAGAGACCAUCUCAAAGGGUGAUCUUCCAGGAGUAAAACACAAAUCUUUUCUAACAGCUGAGGAUUGCUUUGAGUUGGGCAAAGUAGCUUAUACAGAAGCAGAUUAUUACCAUACAGAACUGUGGAUGGAACAAGCACUAAGGCAACUGAAUGAAGGCGAGGUUUCUACUAUAGAUAAAGUCUCUGUUCUGGACUAUUUGAGCUAUGCAGUAUACCAGCAGGGAGACCUGGAUAAGGCACUUUUGCUCACAAAGAAGCUUCUUGAACUAGAUCCUGAACAUCAGAGAGCUAAUGGUAAUUUAAAAUAUUUUGAGUAUAUAAUGGCUAAAGAAAAAGAUGUCAAUAAGUCUUCUUCAGAUGACCAAUCUGAUCAGAAAACCACACCAAAGAAAAAAGGGGUUGCUGUGGAUUACCUGCCAGAGAGACAGAAGUACGAAAUGCUGUGCCGUGGGGAGGGUAUCAAAAUGACUCCUCGGAGACAAAAAAAACUCUUUUGUCGCUACCAUGAUGGAAAUCGGAAUCCUAAAUUUAUUCUGGCUCCAGCCAAACAGGAGGAUGAAUGGGACAAGCCUCGUAUUAUUCGCUUCCAUGAUAUUAUUUCUGAUGCAGAAAUUGAAAUUGUUAAAGACCUAGCAAAACCAAGGCUGAGCCGAGCUACAGUACAUGACCCUGAGACUGGAAAAUUGACCACAGCACAGUACAGAGUAUCUAAGAGUGCCUGGCUUUCUGGCUAUGAAAAUCCUGUGGUGUCUCGAAUUAAUAUGAGAAUACAAGAUCUAACAGGGCUAGAUGUUUCCACAGCAGAGGAAUUACAGGUAGCAAAUUAUGGAGUUGGAGGACAGUAUGAACCCCAUUUUGACUUUGCACGGAAAGAUGAGCCAGAUGCUUUCAAAGAAUUGGGCACAGGAAAUAGAAUUGCUACAUGGCUGUUUUAUAUGAGUGAUGUAUCUGCAGGAGGAGCCACUGUUUUUCCUGAAGUAGGGGCUAGUGUUUGGCCCAAAAAAGUAAGGAACUGCUGUUUUCUGGUAUAAUCUGUUUGCCAGUGGAGAAGGAGAUUAUAGUACACGGCAUGCAGCCUGUCCAGUGCUAGUUGGAAACAAAUGGGUGUCCAAUAAAUGGCUCCAUGAACGUGGACAAGAAUUUCGAAGACCAUGCACCUUGUCAGAAUUGGAAUGACAAACAGGCCUCCCUUCCUCUUCCAUUGGUGUGCUCUGAUGUGUCUGAUACACAGAUUUCCUAGUCUUAACUUCCAAGAGUUUACAAUUGACUAACACUCCAUGAUUGAUUCAAUCAUGAACCUCAUCCCAUAUUUCAUCUGUGAACAAUCACUUUGUGGGUUUUUUCCUGUUAAAAGUAACACUGAAUCACCACAUUAUACUAUAUAUAAAACCUUAAAGUUCAAUUAGUAUCACAUAAACAAGGCAGAGUUUAAAAUGAGGAACUUUUAAUUUUGUGUUAUAUUUUAAAGAACUUUUUGGUUGGAUAAAAAAUAUAAUUUCACUACAUCUCAGUUGGAUGGUAGGCUAGAGUGGGCCAUGUGAUAGGAAACACCUACCUUACAGUAUAUAUCUGGGUGUUAAGUUUACCUAGCCUUACUGUUUAUUUUCUGGAUCUGCCUGAUAAUCUAGGACUCUAAUCUGGGUUCCAUACAGUGUUUUCUAUUCCAUACAGUAUUCUAACUUGAUUUUUUUUUCAAUCCCUCUCCAUUCUAUCAUAGCUCCGCUGUGGUGAAUUUAACCUGUUUGAGUUAAAGUACUUUGAUUUAAAAAAAAAGUUUUUAUGAAGUCCUGUAUAACAUUACUGGGCCUUCUUAACCAAAACACUCAUCAUUUAAUCUGUUUCUUUCUCCAUUUUAUUAAAUGACUAAUAAUUUUGUCCAGAAAUUUUGCUCUUUUUCUUAGUGCUAAUACCUUGCCUCUUAUUCCUGCUACAGCAGGGUGGGGUGGUGAUGUUGGCAUUCUGAUUAAAUAAAUAUUGUGCCUUAGGAGACUGGAAGUUUAAAAAUGUGUAAGUCCUUUCAAUGAUGAGGAAACUGAUUUUUUUAAAAAGUACUCUUAAAAAGCCAAAAUGUUUGUUUUUUUUAAAAUUCUGAAAUGUGUUGUGACAAUAAUGACCUAUUUAUGAUCUUAAAUCUUUUUUAAAAAGUG